rnacentral:tRNA from 2 species
GGAGAGGUGGCAGAGUGGCCGAAUGCGCCUGACUCGAAAUCAGGUAUACAUGAAUAAUGUAUCGUGGGUUCAAAUCCCACCCUCUCCGCCA